rnacentral:piRNA from 1 species
GUGGAUGGCCAGGGCUGGAGUCUC